GGAAAAACUCCAGACUAUCUCCUCUUAGGCAACAUGGUUUAUACAUUUGUGGUCAUCACAGUUUGUCUUAAAGCCGGUCUCGAGACCUCAUCCUGGACCAUGUUCAGUCACAUCGCCAUCUGGGGUAGCAUCAUCCUGUGGGUGGUGUUUUUCCUGAUCUACUCCUCCCUGUGGCCCC